rnacentral:rRNA from 10 species
GCUUACGGCCAUACCACCUUAGGCACGCCCGAUCUCGUCUGAUCUCGGAAGCUAAGCAGGGUCGGGCCUUGGUUAGUACUUGGAUGGGUGACCGCCUGGGAAUACCAGGUGCUGUAAGCA